rnacentral:rRNA from 1 species
AUUGAACGCUGGCGGCAUGCCUUACACAUGCAAGUCGAACGGCAGCACGGACUUCGGUCUGGUGGCGAGUGGCGAACGGGUGAGUAAUGCAUCGGAACGUACCCGGUAGUGGGGGAUAACUACCCGAAAGGGUGGCUAAUACCGCAUAUACUGUGCGCAGGAAAGCAGGGGACCUUCGGGCCUUGUGCUACCGGAGCGGCCGAUGUCAGAUUAGGUAGUUGGUGGGGUAACGGCCUACCAAGCCUGCGAUCUGUAGCGGGUCUGAGAGGAUGAUCCGCCACACCGGGACUGAGACACGGCCCAGACUCCUACGGGAGGCAGCAGUGGGGAAUUUUGGACAAUGGGCGCAAGCCUGAUCCAGCCAUGCCGCGUGAGUGAAGAAGG